rnacentral:lncRNA from 1 species
UAUCUUCCACCAGGUUAUGAUCCUUCAAGAGAUGGACCCCUUCCAUGCCUUGUAUGGUCAUACCCUGGAGAAUUUAAGAGUAAAGAGGCAGCUAGUCAAGUUCGAGGUUCCCCUAAUGAGUUUGCUGGAAUUGGGCCAACAUCCCCCCUCUUAUGGUUAGCAAGGAGGUCUGUCUCUGUUCUCUUUAUUAUCCAUAAAAUUUUGUUCGUUAUAUCUGUUAUUUUGUUAGUGUGGUCAUAUUAAUCUUUUUCAGGGUUCUGCUUGAUUUGGAACCAUAAAUUUCAGGUUUGCCAUCUUGUCAGGGCCCACAAUUCCAAUCAUUGGAGAGGGUGAUGAAGAGGCCAAUGACAGGUAAUCUUGUGCACUAAUAAUUUAAGGAUGUGACUAAAUCUGUUUAAUAAUCUACUUGUGGGAAAGCUAUGUUGUCUUCUUUUUUUGAAUAAAGAAAAUUAUGUUGUCUUCUUGCUACAAAUACAACAAAUAAGACCAAUCUCAAGCUAGUUGAGGCUAGCUGCAUGAAUCCUCUUUGUAAGUUUUGCUUUGACUGUCUCAUUUCAUUACUUGAAUAUUCAAUAAUUUAGGUUCUCUAACCUUAGAAGUCUUUUAUGCUUUUAUCGACAUAUCAACCCUCCAGACCAAGGGAAAAAAAAAAGAAAAGAAAAAGAAGUCCAACAGACUCUUGUCAUUGAUGAAGCAUACCCACAAAGCUAAGCUUUAAGAGCGGAAGUGUAGCAAAGGUGAAGGAAAGGGUUUUAAUCCAAUUUAUUUUGAGGACUUAAUGAAUGCGUACAGCGCAUUUGUGAUAAGUGUGCUUCACAGUCAAGUAGAAGCAAGCUUAGAUCACAUCUAAAGAAAAACGUGACAUAUUCUUUUUGGUACGCGAAAUAUGUUAUUUCUGUUUGAAUGAAACUCAAAAAAAUAUUGUAAAUGACAACAAGGAAGCACAUAAGCAAUAUUUGCGAGGGACAAUGCCUACACAUCUUUUUUUUUAAUUUUAGAUAUGGCAAAGUUUGGGUCAGCCUCGACCAAUCCACUGGAUAGCCUGCUAAGAGUCUACAAGCAUAUGUGUCGAGCAUGCUGAACAAGGACGGAGAAGUUAGUUUCACAAUAACUGCUGUAGCAGUGUUUGAGCUUGGGAUCGCCUGAUUGUUACUAUGUGCCUCAACAGCAACUAACUGUGCACUUCUGAUUGUUAUUCCUAUGCAUUAACUACUUACCUAUAUGCCUAUGGGGACUUUAUUUUGGGAUUUUUUGUUGUGGUUUAAGUGAAGUAGAUGAGAAAAUGAGAUGAACAUGGCACGGUUAUUCCCUCAAUCUAUUAGGAUUUAAAUAGUUGGGUUUACAUGUCCUAGAAAGUAAAGGACAACUCAAUACUUAAUUACAAUAGGAGUAAAUUAAGCUACUUACUCAAUUUACAUAUAUUCUAGGAUAUUCACAAGGACUCUAACACUCCUCCUCAAGCUAGUGCGUACAGAUUGUAUCAACCAUGCUUGCUACAUGUAUAACUUGUUCCGGGGUAGGCUAGGGACUUGGUGAAUAUGUUUGCUUGUUGAUCAUUUGAAAACACAAACCUUGUGACGAUGUUUUUAACAAUGCCUUCUCUCUGACCAAUGACAAUCAAUCUCAAUGUGUUUGGUUCUAACACCAGAUUCGACACAAUAUGAAGUGCAACUUCAUUAUCAUACACAAGUUCCAUUUCUUUAAUCUCUCCAAAUUUCAACUCCUUCAUUUGUUGCUUGAUCUAUAUGAAUUUGCAUGUUGCCACUUUCAUAGUUCGAUAUUUUGCUUCUAUACUAAAUCAAACAACCACCUUUUGUUCCUUUCUUUUCUACCACACCAAGUUUCACCCAACUAGAACACAAUAUGCAAAAGUACAUCGUUUGUCAAAUGUUGACCCUACCUAGUUUGCUUCUAAAUAUCCAAACAAUUUUCCUAUGUCCUCGGUCUUUGUGAAGUCGUCCUUUCCUUGGAACAAAAACUGACUUGCAACACUAUUGAGAAGUCAAUGACAGGUUGAGUCACAACAAGAUAAUUCAACUUCCCUACCUGCCUUUUAUAUCUUCCAGGAUCACUAAGAGGUAGCCCCUGACUUGGUAGGAGCUUAAGAUUUGGAUCCGUUGGAGAAUCAAUAGACCUGCAAUCUGUCAUUCAUAUCUCAAGAAUAUCAAGUGCAGACUUUCUUUGUGAAAUGGCAAUCCCCAAUUUGGAUUGAGCAACUUCAAUGCCCAAGAAUUACCUCAAUCGACCAAGACUCUUAGUCUGAAUGUACUGAAAGGCUGAUGUCUCAAUUUGGUAAUUUAGAUUCCUGUUAGCCAUCGAUCGACUUCCUCGAAAUCCUGCGCGAAAUAAAAGUCCUAUACCACAUCUGAGGACAGAAGUGCUUUCCUAGGUUCUUCUCAUCUUCAUUACCUUUAAUGACUAUGCCAUCAACGUAAACCACUAAGUAUAUAUACAAACUUGGAGCAGAGUAACGAUUUAGAUACUGACUGAUCAACUUCAUUUCGUACCAUGCCAAACUCUUGAAUAACCAUGCUAAACUUCCCGAACCAUGCUCGAUGAGACUGCUUUAGUCCAUAAAGUGCUUGUCGUAAUUUGCAUACCAUGUUACUAGACUCCCCCUGAGUAACAAAAUCAGGUUGUUGCUCCAGAUAUACCUCAUCUUCGAGAUCCCAAUGAAGAAAGUCAUUUUUAAUAUCCAACUAGCAGAGCGGCCAGUGCCGUCCAAUGGCCAUAGAAAAAAAAUAGAUGGACUGAAGCAAUCUUAGUCAUAGAAGAGAAGGCAUCGUAAUAGUCAAGACCAAAUAAUUUGUGUAUAACCCUUGACGACUAGUCGAGCCUUUAGGCAAUCAAUCUGUCCAUCGAGGUCACCAUACUACCAAAUUCUAGAGUUACCUAGAGGUAGUGGAACAAGCUCUUUAAGUACCACUGGAGUGUAAUACAGACAUCACCCACUCAUAGCUUGUUGUCAACCUGGAUGAGAAAGAGUGUAAUACAGUCUAUCGUUAGGAAUAGAUGCAGAUGAUAGUGGUGAUACAAAGACAAAAUGGGUUGGUGACAAACGAUGAUAGCUUAAACAAGUAGAUAAGAAAAGGGUUAUGGGUAGAGCCAAUACCUUUUUGAGUGGCAAUGAAAGAACUUUGUUUAGACAAGUUUGCAGCAGGUACGGACUUUGGUGGAGGGCAUGAUUGUCUAGGUUGCACGAGGAGCGUGAAUAACGAUGAUAAGCGGUGGAGGUGUAACCGAGGAAGAUGGAGCUGAGAAGUUUCGAUAUCCCUUCUGAGAAAAUACUUAAAACCCCAUGAGGAACUAACUCUAUUAGGACCCAAAUAUCAAAAUGAACUAAAUGAAAAAGAAGACUCGACAUGAUUAUUAAGAUUUAAGACAACGUGGAGAAGUAGUUCAAAUGUGCUUCCAUACAACUCACACUGACAAUUUUGACAAGCUAGGUGUCAUCGUUUGAAGUUUGUAUAAACUAGGAUGUCUCAAGUGUUUGUGGAUUAAAUUUGGAGCAUAGGAGACCUAGCAGCAGUAGUGGAGCUGGGUGAAUAGAGAUAAUAAAGUCCAUCUGGCUUACACCCUUUGCUAAUCAUCCUUCUCGUACUGAGUUCCUGUAUAACAAUGAAGUCACUAAGGACUGAGAUACAACAAUUGACAGCCUUAGCCAAACAACUGAUUGACAGAAGGCUAAUGGGACAACCAAUGGCCAAAAAAACAUUAUUCAGAAUCAAAUAAGGUAAAGGAUUGACUUAGCUAGAUCCAGUUGCCAUGAUAUGAGAAUCAUUAACUAACGUAGAAUAAAUAAAAUCAAGAAAUAAAGAUUUUUACUGGAAAUAUCGUCAGAUGCGUGUGAGUUCAUGAACUUAAGGCAAAAUGUGGUGGACUGGGAGAUACAAGCAAAAAGAUUACCCGUGUGAGCUGCAGAAGCUAUCGAUGGAAAUGUCUGCUUAUUCGCCUGAUAUGGAAGAAUGUCAUUGAUUCUAUCUCAGAUAAAGAGAUCAACUAAUUGGCUGGAUUACUAGUGGAUUCAGUCUUGAGUAAAAUGAGCAUUCUUUUGUUUAUCGUGGUCGUGGAAAGAUGAAUUGUCUUGCCGGGGAGUGUUCGGGAUCUGGUGGAAUCUGGAUGGUCUCGAACAAGGAGGCGAGUCGAUCUGGAAAAGAGAACUCGCCAAAAAGUGAUCAGAACAGUGUUCACGCGUAGGUGUGUGAGCAGAUCUCAUGGGUAAGUGCACUGGUCUGAUUGACGCAUGGGAGGUUAGAUGACGGUGGAGAUGAUUAGGGUUUGCUUCGAAAACUUACAGCAGCUUGCCAAACAAAGGCUAAGGCGGUGGAGAUGAUUAGGGUUUGCUCGUGCUGGUUUACCACUUCUUGUAGUAAUGUUGGUUUGAUUGCAGCAUCUAGGGAAACAAAAAAAUCUCAUCAGACAGCCAAGUAAGAUCUUCUGAAGCUUUUCCAGAGUUUGGAAUUUUCUUUUCCGAUGUCGUUGGCGUUAACCAGACUCUGCUACCAUGUGAAGCGGAAGAGAAAUGAAAGGAACUCGGUUUGAUUAUUCCCUCAAACUAUUGGGGUUUAAUACCUAUGUUUGUGUCCUAUAAAGGAAAGAAAAUCAAUACCUAAGUACGAUAGGAGUAAAUUAAGUCGCCUACUAUAUUUUAGAUAUAUUCACAAGGAUUCUAAUAGUUCAUCUGGUAAAACUUACAGUACAAUGAGCAUCCAUAAGUGAAAUCCUGCUCUCGUAGGUUCUUCCACUCUUUUUAAUUGCUCUACUGGAAAAUGAUGUGACUAGUUACUGUGUUUCAUUUUAGAUUUCCUUUCUUUUGCAUUUUUUUCUCGUUUCAUCUUGAUCAGUUAAUCCUGCAUUCUGAGCCAGUUGGUGCUCUACUCUUUUUUAUGAAAUGAACGGCAUAGCGCAUGCUGAAAGUUUGAUCUUUAUGUUGUUCUUAAGAAUCAGAGCCUGUGCUUUGUUUCUAGAUGUUAAGCCGAUGCUAAGCUGAUUUACUAAAAUUGGUCCCUCUAGAAGUUGUUUGUUGGAGCACAUAUUGGACUAUUCCAUCAAAACCACGAAUUCAAUUUUUUUAAAGCACUUCACUUUGUAAUACUAUAGUGCUAGCGACUGAUACUGUUGGUGUAUUUGUAUUUUGUAGAGUUAAUGAUUGUGGGAGUUGUUUGAAUGUAGAAACCUUCCUCAAUAAUAUGCUGAAUACCAUGCCGCAUGUACCUAUUCUACUGAAGUUCUCCUCCAUAAAAUUUUGCCUGUGUGAUUACUGACUAGGGAUGAAGCAUGAUUACACCCUUUUUUCUCUCUUUCUUGCUUUUCUUCGUGGUGGGGAAGGGAGGGUGCCACGGGAUGUUCAGUGGACUUGCUUCCCCACAUGAGCUGUAGGCUAUUGAUGUUUUGGAACUAAUUUAAGGAUAAAUCAUGUCUGUGUCUUGUGCUGAGGUGUAUUCUUUUACUUUUUCGUAUGCAACUUGGAGAUUUGGGCGUUUAUUGAAUAAAUGCUGGCUUAAUUAGGUACAUAGAACAACUUGUUGCAAGCGCUGAGGCUGCAGUGGAAGAAGUUAUACGCCGUGGAGUAAGUUUUUUUUUCUUCUUGCUAAACAUAUGUUGCAUGAAACUUAGAAAUUACGGCCGAGUUUUCUGGUGCUUUGUUUUUUAGGUGGCCGAUCCAAACAAAAUUGCUGUUGGUGGUCAUUCCUAUGGGGCAUUCAUGACAGCAAACCUCCUUGCACAUGCACCUCAUCUUUUCUGUUGUGGAAUUGCUCGUUCUGGUGCUUAUAACAGAACACUAACACCUUUUGGCUUCCAGG